ACUGGCGGCGUGCUUACACAUGCAUGUCGAACGGAAAGGCCCACCACCUUUGGGUGGUGGGUACUCGAGUGGCGAACGGGUGAGUAACACGUGGGUGAUCUGCCCCGCACUGUGGGAUAAGCCUGGGAAACUGGGUCUAAUACCACAUACGACCAUGGCGUAGGGGUCAUGGUGGAAAGCCUUGUGCGGUGUGGGAUGAGCCCGCGGCCUAUCAGCUUGUUGGUGGGGUAAUGGCCUACCAAGGCGGCGACGGGUAGCCGGCCUGAGAGGGUGGACGGCCACAUUGGGACUGAGACACGGCCCAGACUCCUACGGGAGGCAGCAGUGGGGAAUAUUGCACAAUGGGCGCAAGCCUGAUGCAGCGACGCCGCGUGGGGGAUGAAGGCCUUCGGGUUGUAAACUCCUUUCGCCCGGGACGAAGCCCACCUGGUGGGUGACGGUACCGUGGAGAAGAAGCACCGGCUAACUACGUGCCAGCAGCCGCGGUAAUACGUAGGGUGCAAAGCGUUGUCCGGAUUAC
rnacentral:rRNA from 1 species